CCCUGAUUCUCCAGCUGGCCUGGAGACCUAUUUCAAGCUCCUGACAGAGGAAUGCAUGGCAGAGCAUGUGAAGCGGGGUGUGAUGUGGGGGCAGGGAAUCCAACCCACGAAUUGGAUUUUACAAUGGCACGCCCACUGCUGCCAAGGGGAAGUGGGAAGCAGGAAUUAAAGCAAUGGAGCAAUGGUUUGAGUCACCCUCUCUGCGCCAGAACAUUCUGAGAAAUCGCUGGUUCGUACUCCAAAACUCCUUUCCCUGGGACAGGAGCUCCUCUAUAUCAUCAGAGGCAACGGGGUACCCAGAGGCUGCUUGGAUACCAUCAGUGACAGGGAGCUCACUCCUCUAAGCAUGAUCAGCAAACUGAGGUCUGGAGAGAUGAAGUGACAGGCACAAGCGGAAGCUUCAGGGAGGAAGGCUGCGGGCUGGAGAGAACCUGAGGCUGAGUUUCUUCCAUUUCAUCCAGCGCAUUCACCAAAGCACCCUGUGUGCCGAGGGCAGCGGGGGCCGUACCCUCCCGGAGCUCACGAAUGGGUGAGGGAGAAGCCCCUAGGCGGAGAAACUUACAAUCCCAUGUGGACAUGUGAACUCAGUGAGAGGAGGUGCUGCGGUGAGGGCCACUUCUUGGAGAUUUGGGAAAAGGAGCAGGAUGUUUCUGGCAGUGAGGCUGGGAAGGGCAUCCUUCAUAGCAGAGGGAAGCUGUGAGCAGAGCAGAGGCUGAGGACGACUCCACCCAAGGGGACCGGUGGGGCAGGGGCUGUGCCAGGGCUUGACCCGGAGCUCUGGGCUGUGUCCAGUUCCCUUCAAAUGAGAAAGAAGGCGCCAGAGGUGCAGGGGACAGGGGAUGCCUGCCAGCCAGGCCCCAUCUCCUCUGCUGUUUAGGGACUCGGGUUGGAAUUUCCACGACACUAUUUGGGGGAGGAUGAGGGAGCUGGUGGGAAAUGGGUUUGGGGGCGCGAGGCUUGAUAUCAUUUCUUCCGAUAAAGAGGCAUUGGCUCAGCUUUUCUGUCUUCUGCUUAAUCACUUUCAGAGGCUCAUUAGACUUAGAGGAAAUACACUUGCAAACUCAAACCACAUGCCACCCUCAGAGUACAUACUCCCAUCCCCAAAGCACACGUACCUCAGAG
rnacentral:lncRNA from 10 species